GACGAACGCUGGCGGCGUGCUUAACACAUGCAAGUCGAACGGAAAGGCCUUUUCGGAGGUACUCGAGUGGCGAACGGGGGAGUAACACGUGGGUGAUCUGCCCUGCACUCUGGGAUAAGCCUGGGAAACUGGGUCUAAUACCGGAUAGGACCGCACUUUAGAGUGUGUGGGGGAAAGUUUUUUCGGUGUAGGGUGAGCCCGCGGCCUAUCAGCUUGUUGGUGGGGUAAUGGCCUACCAAGGCGGCGACGGGCAGCCGGACUGAGAGGUUGGUCGGCCACAUUGGGACUGAGGUGCGGCCCAGACACCUACGGGAGGCAGCAGUGGGGAAUAUUGCACGAGGGGCGCAGGCCUGAUGCAGCGACGCCGCGUGGGGGAUGACGGCCUUCGGGUUGAAAACUCCUUUCGCCAGGGACGAAGCGUUUUGUGACGGUACCUGGAGAAGAAGCCCCGGCUAACUACGUG
rnacentral:rRNA from 1 species